rnacentral:snRNA from 1 species
GUAAACCCGUAAGGCGCAAGG